AUACUCUGGUUUCUCUUCAGAUCGUAUAAAUAUUUUGCCUUUUACUAAAGAUUCUGUGAAGAGGAACAACUCUGAGCCUUAAACCAAUUUUUUGAGGCCUUCUUUGGGAAGUCU
rnacentral:snRNA from 1 species